GGGUUUCUAGUCUAAUAAAGACAUUAGAUUGUAACUCUAAAAAUGAGACGUCUCGGAGCCCU
rnacentral:tRNA from 1 species